UCCUACGGGAGGCAGCAGUGGGGGAAUAUUGCACAAUGGGCGCAAGCCUGAUGCAGCCAUGCCGCGUGUAUGAAGAAGGCCUUCGGGUUGUAAAGUACUUUCAGCAGUGAGGAAGGUGGGUAUGUUAAUAGCAUAUUCAUUUGACGUUAGCUGCAGAAGAAGCACCGGCUAACUCCGUGCCAGCAGCCGCGGUAAUACGGAGGGUGCGAGCGUUAAUCGGAAUUACUGGGCGUAAAGCGCAUGCAGGUGGUUUGUUAAGUCAGAUGUGAAAGCCCGGGGCUCAACCUCGGAAUUGCAUUUGAAACUGGCAAACUAGAGUACUGUAGAGGGGGUAGAAUUUCAGGUGUAGCGGUGAAAUGCGUAGAGAUCUGAAGGAAUACCGGUGGCGAAGGCGGCCCCCUGGACAGAUACUGACACUCAGAUGCGAAAGCGUGGGGAGCAAACAGGAUUAGAUACCCUGGUAG
rnacentral:rRNA from 1 species